rnacentral:rRNA from 1 species
UACAGGGGGUGCAAGCGUUGUCCGGAAUCAUUGGGCGUAAAGCGCGCGUAGGUGGCCAUUUAAGUCCGCUGUGAAAGUCAAAGGCUCAACCUUUGAAAGCCGGUGGAUACUGGAUGGCUAGAGUACGGAAGAGGCGAGUGGAAUUCCUGGUGUAGCGGUGGAAUGCGCGAGUAUCAGGAGGACACCAAUAGCGAAGGCAGCUCGCUGGGACGUUACUGACACUGGAGGCGCGAAAGCGUGGGAGCGAA